AGUCAUCUUUAUCAAAAAUUGGCUCUUGGUGCAUGAAAAUCUUAAAGCUAUUUUUCAAAGAGUUACUGAGUCAUACAAAAUGCAUUCACAAGUAUUGAGCUCAUGCCCUUAGUCAUCUUAGGUUCAUUCAUUUAUUAAAUUGUAUUUUUUCGCAGGUUUUGUUUAAAUGGACGUAAAUGGCAAUGGUUUUGUUGGUGGAUCAAAAAAAACUUCACCUGCAAUGGAAUAAGGGAAAGUGCUUUCUCUCUAGAAAGUUUCGUCAUAUGUGCAUUCUUUCUGGCUGUGAUUAUUUACCCUCAUUGCCUGGCAUUGGAUUGGCUAAAGCUUGUCGCUUCAUUACACGAUCUAUAGAACCUGACAUACACAAGGCUUUGACAAGACUGCCGACUCAUUUAAACAUGUCUCAGCUCAGUGUCACGCCUGAGUAUCGGGAUAAAUUUGUGGAAGCAGAUUUGGUGUUUAAACACCAACCAGUUUUUGAUCCUUUCAACGCAAAAUUGUGCCUCUUACUGAUCCUCCAGAAGAUGUAUCGCUCUCAGACCUGUGGGUUAUACGGCCUGACGAUCAAGCUGAACAAUUAGCCCUAGGAAAUUUGAAUCCCUUUUCAUUGAAGAAAAUGGACAACUGGCAUCCUGAUGCAAAAGAGAAACAGCUUAAAAGGAGCAAAAGUUGGAAUGGAAAAGCUCCCCAUAAAAGUAUUUGGUCGCCAGAUUUUCUCGAAGCCUUAAAGAAAAAAAGAGAAGAAAUUGAAAAGAAGAAAAAAGCUGGGUCUGCUUUUGUCAUUCCCUCCACUCUUGGGAAGCAAGUUGUUCAAAAAGCACAAACUCCAACGAAAAAGAGAGUCAGUGAAGAUUUUGAAGAUGAAAAGAAACAGUUUAUUGAAAUGUACGGGUCUUAUGAACAACCAGCAAAAAGGUUACGUAUGGAAGAACAUGGUCUAGAUGAGCCAAUAGAAGAAGAUGACUCUCCAGUUAAACCCAAACUCCGGUCCGCAUUCCCUUUUCUAAAUCUGAGGUUUCCCCUGUGAAACAUUCUAAAUCAUCAAGCAAGCACAACGGACAGUUCUUGAUGACAGCAUCAUUUUAGUCAGUGG
rnacentral:lncRNA from 1 species